UACGGAGGGUGCGAGCGUUGUCCGGAAUCACUGGGCGUAAAGGGCGCGUAGGUGGUGGCUUAAGCGUGCGGUGAAAGCUCGGAGCUCAACUCCGAGUCGGCCGUGCGAACUGGGCUCACUAGAGCAUAGUAGAGGCAGGUGGAAUUCCGGGUGUAGCGGUGGAAUGCGUAGAGAUCCGGAAGAACACCGGUGGCGAAGGCGGCCUGCUGGGCUAUGGCUGACACUGAGGCGCGACAGCGUGGGGAGCAAACAGG
rnacentral:rRNA from 1 species